AGGCCCUGCAGGGAGCAGAGAAGCAAGACUGAUAAACAAGCACUCUGGGUCGACUUCCACGCGCCAUCUGCAGGCCACUGGAUCUGGCCGACAGAGAGCUGACACUGGGACUCACGAGGUGUGACAUGGGAAGAGGCAGAAGAGAAAAAGAAGUUAGUGUCUGUCACCACAAACAUUGGGAAGAAAGGACAGGAGAAACCGGGCAAACCUGGCCAAGCAUAGGUCUGGAGAGCGAUGAACUGAUUCUACAGAAGAGUGCCAGUGGAAUGCAGUAAACAGCAGUCCUCGGUCCCAACCACUUAUUGAAUAUACUGGUGCUUUCCAAAGGAACCUCAGAGACCAUUUAGUUAUAGAUCAAGAGGCCUGGAGGGCCUGCUAGCCUAGAGUCUCAGCUACUUAAGGCUCCUCUCACCAGUAAUGAGGUUGACACUACACCAGUCCACUUGCUUUCAAGCUGCUUUGUUGUUUCCUUCAAGGAUGCAUGUACAUGCCCUUCCCCCAGCAAACUGGAGACUGCCUCAGGACCCCAAAGGCCUUUUGGAAAAGAAUUCUAGGGGCUGGGAUACAACUCGGUUGGUAGGGUGCUUGCCUAGUUGCAUGAAGCCCUUGGUUUAAUCUCCUGCACUACAUAAACUAGGCAUGGUAGCUCAUGACUGUAAUUUCUGCACUAGAGAGAUUGAAAUCACGAGUUCAAGGCUAUCCUUGGCCACACAGUGAGUUAAGGACAGACUGGUAUACAUGAGAUCACGUCACAAUAAAACAAAUAUAAAACACAAACCCCCACAGCAGAGGGGGAUAAAGAACUUUAGAGCUAGGCAUUGUGUCAUAUCUAUGUAAGUCUAGCACUAGGGAAGGCAGAGGCAAGAGGAUACUUGCAUCAAGCUGUAUGACAAAGCCUUGUCUCAGGGAAGGAGAGAAUAGAAUUCACAUUAUCAGUUCUUCUAUAUUAUUCUGACUCAGGUUUAUUUUGUAAUUCUCAUGCAUAAG